GGGCUCUCAUUUUUCCCCUAUUCCUACGGUGAGACUGAGACAGGAAAUAAAGUUACACAUUAUUCACUUCAAUCUAAACCAAAAUUUUGAAUUUUAGCCUCCUUUGAAUUCGGCCUGGCUUGAAAAUAAUAAAGAGCGUUUGUGGAGGGAAUGGCCACAAAGAAAAUUAUAGCUAUCUGUCAAUCGGGUGGUGAGUUUGUAACGAAUAAAGAUGGAUCAUUGACGUAUAACGGGGGCGAAGCAUAUGCAAUAGACAUUGAUCAGCAAACAGAGUUGAGUGAUUUUAAGGCAGAAGUAGCUGAGAUGUUUAAUUGUAGUGUUGAUACCAUGUCUAUUAAAUACUUUCUUCCUGGGAACAAGAAGACUCUUAUCAGCAUAUCUAAAGACAAGGACUUCAAGCGCAUGCUUAAUUUUCUUGGGGACACUGUGACGGUCGAUCUCUUCAUCCUGUCUGAGGAGGCUGCAGCUCGAAACGUCUCGAAUAUGCCUGCUAGUAGGUCAAGCAGAACAACUGUCUCAGAAGCUGUAGUUCCUGUUGUUGCUCCUGUUGAUGCUGCAGUUGACAUGGGCAAUGCCAUUGAUCGGGUUGAUAUGAAUGUACCUGAGGAAAUCCCUGUACUUGCUGUUCCAGUUGGCUUCAAUGAUGACAAGAAUCGUAAAGCCGCACAACAGUGGGAAAACACCAUCACUGGUGUGGACCAAAGGUUUAAUAGUUUUAGUGAAUUCCGAGAAGCUUUACAUAAGUACUCAAUUGCUCAUGGGUUUGCUUAUAGAUACAAGAAAAAUGACAGUCAUCGUGUUACUGUCAAAUGCAAGUGCCAAGGUUGUCCAUGGCGGAUAUAUGCAUCAAGAUUGUCAACCACCCAAUUAAUCUGUAUCAAGAAAAUGAACUCAAAUCACACAUGUGAAGGAGCUUCUGUGAAAGCUGGGUAUCGGGCAACUAGAGGUUGGGUGGGAAACAUUAUAAAGGAGAAACUGAAAAAUUCCCCAAACUACAAGCCAAAGGAAAUUGCAGAUGAUAUUCAAAAAGAAUAUGGGAUUCAACUGAAUUAUUCUCAGGCAUGGCGUGCUAAAGAGAUAGCGAGAGAGCAGCUUCAAGGCUCCUAUAAAGAUGCAUAUUCUCUGUUGCCAUACUUCUGUGAGAAGAUAAAGGAGACCAAUCCUGGCAGCGUUGUUACUUUUACCACAAAGGAUGACUCAAGCUUCCAUCGUCUUUUUGUUUCAUUUCAUGCAUCAAUUACCGGCUUCGAACAAGGUUGUCGUCCUCUCCUUUUCCUUGAUACCACUCCUUUAAACUCAAAAUAUCAAGGGAUGCUGUUGUCUGCAACUGCUGCAGAUGGGGAUGAUGGUAUCUUUCCUGUAGCCUUUGCUGUGGUUGAUGCUGAGACUGAAGAAAACUGGCAUUGGUUCUUACUGGAACUGAAAUCUGCACUUUCCACAUUGCAACAAAUUACUUUUGUGGCAGAUUUUCAGAAUGGUUUAAAGCAGUCACUGGCUGAGGUUUUUGAUAAGUGCUACCACAGCUAUUGUUUACGCCAUCUCGCUGAGAAACUUAAUAGGGAUUUAAAAGGGCAGUUUUCUCAUGAAGCAAGACGAUUCAUGAUUAAUGACUUUUAUGCUGCUGCAUAUGCGCCAAAACUUGAGGUUUUCCAGUGUUCUGCUGAGAACAUAAAAGGCAUCUCUCCUGAAGCUUACGAUUGGGUGAUACAAAGUGAGCCAGAGCAUUGGGCCAAUGCAUUCUUUCCGGGGGCACGGUAUGACCACAUGACAUCAAACUUUGGACAACAGUUCUACAGUUGGGUUUCAGAGGCACAUGAACUGCCAAUAACACAGAUGAUUGAUGUAUUACGAGGUAAGAUGAUGGAAUCAGUUUAUGCACGCCGUGUAGAGUCCAAUCAGUGGAUAACAAAGUUAACACCAUCUAAGGAGGAAAAGUUGCAAAGGGAAACUGCAGUUUCACGGUCAUUUCAAGUGCUACUCUCUCAUAGUAGCAUUUUUGAGGUCCGUGGAGAUUCUGUUGAUGUUGUUGACAUUGACCAUUGGGAUUGUACCUGCAAGGGAUGGCAGUUAACUGGUUUGCCUUGCUGCCAUGCUAUUGCUGUAUUUGAAUGCAUUGGUAGGAAUUCUUAUGAUUAUUGCUCUAGAUACUUCACUACUGAGAGUUACCGCUUGACUUAUGCGGAGUCAAUUCACCCUGUUCCAAACAUAGAUAGACCAGUCCUGAGUGAAUCAAAUCAGGAGAUAGUUACUGUAACACCACCCCCAACAAAACGUCCACCAGGCCGACCAAAGAUGAAGCAGGCUGAAUCAGCAGACAUAAUUAAACGGCAGCUUCAAUGCAGCAAGUGCAAGGGUCUUGGUCACAACAAGAAAACAUGCAAAGAUUCUUAGUACAGAUUGUCAAGACAAUAUUUGGCAUCAAAGAACAAUGCAUUCAUUUUGAGCCAUUAGCAAGUUAGACACUUGAAGAAACCUGGUGGAGACUGCUUGAUCUGGAGUUGUUCACUCAGCUUUCUGUCAAUCGCCUGUUUGCUUCCUCAAGCCUCAUUGCACUGUUAUUCUCAGCCUUCUCCACUGAAAUUUAAGUUUUGGCACCAGUCACCAGGAUAUAGCUCAUCAUGUUGGUGGAAUCUUCAAACUAGUCAUUGUGCGCGUUGGCCCUUUUCAGCAGAUGUAUUAUUUAAUU